rnacentral:rRNA from 1 species
AUGGGAGUGAAGGUGUGUCGUGAUGCUUCUUCGGUAUCUCAUCUUUUAUUUGCGGAUGACUCUCUUAUCCUUAUGCGAGCAGAUGCCACUAAUGCUAUCAGCCUCCGGCGGGCACUUGAUGAUUAUUGUGCAGCUUCUGGACAAAUGGUGAGCGAGGCCAAGUCCAGUAUUUUCUUUAGUCCUUGCACCCCUGUUGAUAUUAGAGUGGAGGUUUGCACUGCACUAAAUAUCAUGGUGGAAGCCAUCACAGAUAAAUAUUUGGGAUUGCCUCCAAUUGUAGGUGUGGACAGAACAGAUUGUUUUCAACACCUCAUUGACAGAGUUUUGAGUAGAAUAAGAGGUUGGAAAGAGAAAUUGUUAUCCUACGGAGGUAGGGAAGUGCUACUUAAAGCUGUCAUACAAGCUAUUCCUUCUUACGCUAUGUCAGUUUUUAAACUACCCAAACUGGUUUGCAAUAGUAUCACCACAGCUAUGUCUAAAUAUUGGUGGGGAGAUGAUGAUCUGCAAAAACACAUGCACUGGUUUGCUUGGUGGAAAGUGUGUGUCCCAAAGGAAAAGGGUGGAAUGGGUUUUAGAGACUUGCAUUGUUUUAAUUUGGCUCUUCUCACAAAGCAGUGUUGGAGGUUGUUAUGUGAACCAAAUUCUUUAUGUUCUAGAGUUUUGAGAGCAAAAUAUUUUUCUGAUGGAGACCUUCUUAAC